rnacentral:lncRNA from 1 species
CACCUUUCAAACCAGUCCUGCACCCCAGAGACCACAGGUAAAUCAUCUCUCUCUACCCAGACCUGCAAACUGUCCAUGUAUGUAACACUGCCACUGCAGGGAAGGAGGCGGGCCAGAGGAGCAGGAGAGAGCCAGCCACCACCUCACCAGCCUUCUGUGUGAGUUGCCUUCUCCCAAGUCCUUUGAGUGGAGACAGCCCAGUCCCUGAUCAACCAAGUGCCCUGCAGUGACAGCUGGGAAAGAUGGCAGGUGUCAGCCUUCUCGCCCCAUCUCUGCCACCACUGCUCCCUGAAAACUUCUCGCAGGGAUGAUUCCAGUGUUGUGGCUUCUCGGCAACCCAGCUUCAGUCUCGGGCACCCCUCUUCUCCCAAGCCUGUUUCUCAGCCUGCCACUGAGUAGACUCUCUUUUCAGUGCUCCUCAGAAGAGUUACUCCAGUUCCCAGGAGCACCCCGAUUCAUCUCCUCAACUGGGACUUUCUAUCUCUAGCUCGACCCCAAACUGUAUAUUGAUUUAAUUAAUAUUUAUUGAAAACUUACUAAAGGCCAUAUAUAUCCUUCUAAAGCACUGAAAAACAUAUUCCUUAUACAUGGGUAUGUAUGUACAUAAAUACCUAUAACAUAGAGGCUAACAGCAUGGUUUUAAAAUUAGAUCUCGUCAUUUAGUAACAGUGAACUUUACUUUGGCAGGUUACUCUAACUUUCUGAGUCCCAGUUUCCUUUUCUGUAAUGUGGACAUCAUUUUUCCUACCUCAAAGGAUCAGUGUGAGAAGAAAGUGAAAUACUAAUUUGUGUGUGGCACUUAGCACUGUGCCUAAAACAUAAUAAAUACUUAAUAGCACUUCUGUGUAAUCAGCACAGGACAGACCAUUCCCGAAGAUUCCCGCUCCCACCAAAUCAUAGGCUCUUAGAAGGCUAAAACCACAGCUGUCUUGUUCACCCUUAUAUCCCCAGUACCUGGCAUAAUGCCUGGCACAUGGAAAGUGCUUAAUAAACGUUUCUGCAAUGAGCUAAUAAGUGAAUAAGUAAUACUGCAGUUAAUGACAAAAAUAUUUAUCUGGUGCAACUUUCCAAGGAGCUUAAAGAUCUCUCAAUAUUAUUUAAUUUGGUUUUAAAGUUCACCUUGGGGCCAGGCAUAAUGGCUCAUGCCUCUAAUCCCAGCACUUUGGGAGGCAGAGGUGGGAGGAUCGCUUGAGUCCAGGAGUUCAAGAUCAGACUGGGCCACAAAGCAAGUCUCCGUCUCUACCAAAGAAAUAUGAAAAAUUAUCCAGACAUGGCAGUUGUACCUGCAGUCCUAGCUAGCCAGGAGGCUGAGGUGGGGGGAAAUCGCUUGAGCCCAGGAGUUCAAGGAUGCAGUGAGCUAUGAUCACAUGACUGCUCCAGCCUGGGCAACAGAGCAGGACUCUAACUCUAAAAAAAAAAAAAAAAAAAAAAAAAAAACCCCACAAAAAAACAAAGUUCACCUAGGAUGGCAAGUAAAAGAUGAGGAAACUAAAAGUCUAAGUAACUUGCUCCAGGUCUUAGUUACUAAGUGGCAGAUUCCAACCCAGGUCUGACUCCAAAGUCCUCACUCCUAACCAUGAUGUUAAAAUGUUAAAAUGGAAGCCUAUUAUAAGGAAUAGGUCCACUUAUUUGCAUUCAUUAACCAGCAUAAAUAAGUUCAUGUAAUGAACUGGCUCUGAGAGAAAGGGUUCUAAGGUAGUUGAGGUUUGAUGAAGAAUAGAACAACCAAACAAAUCAGGAAGGUUUGAGUAACAGGCCAUUGCUUAUCAUAGUCUGCAAGGUAUCUCAAGAAUUUGACCAAGAGAGACAGUGCUUGUGACAAAAGAUAGAAAAGCUGGUCAAAAAGACAAAUUUCACUUUAUUCAUUAUUCAUGUAGUCACUAGUUUAUAAAAUGCUUAUUGAAUAUGUACUAUAAGGUGGGGGCUGUUUGGUGCUGAAGAUAUGAGGGAGAGUAAAAGUAGACAGGGUUCAUGACCCUCAAAGCUUACAGACCCCUCAAAGCAACAAUAUUAAGCUUAGUAACAAUUUUGCCCAAGUCGUGAAAUCUUGACAUUCAGCUUUGGCCACAUGGUUCUGUCAGGUCCCAGCUCUUUUGGUUCUGACUCUUCUGGAUCUUAUUAUCUUGUAUUUUUCACUCUAUCUGUUGACCUAAUGUAUUUCCAUUCUGAUGUGUGCAGUUCAGCACAAUCCUGACAUCAUGAACUUAAAAGCCUGCCUUGUUAAUAGAUUUUAUUUUUUGAAUGUUGACUAUGGACAGGAUUUGGCUUGCGUGUGAUAAUUGGUAACCAUAUGACUAAUAGGAGGAGGUUUUAUAAUUGGUCUGCUCUUGUAUUCUUACUCAUCACUGCUAAUUACCCAGUGUGUCUGAUAUGCCAGAUGGAUAUUUAAUAAAUGGUCUAAUGAUUGGAUCUGAAAUAACAUAUUCAGGUUCAAGAGAACCAUGGUCCUGGGAGGGAGGUCACACAGUUCUCCAUUCUGCCAUCCAGCACCGUUGCUUUUAGAUGAAGUUUGAUGAGGCUGAAUUAGAUCCUGACAAUUGUAUGGCAUUUUUGUUUAAUUCCAAGGAAAUUUUCUUUCAUGGGCUUACCAUGAUUUCUAUGGAAACUCAUUUUGGGGAAAAUCCUCAGUCUGACUUGUUCCAAGUUGGAUUUACUUACUCUGGCAAAGUUAUGACCUAUUAAAAAGUGCUAAUGGAGACAACUGAGAAGCUAAGUUUCAGGGAACCGUGUUGUCUUAGUCUGCUUUGUGUUACUGUAAGAGAAUACUUGAGACUGGAUGAUUUACACAGAGAGCUGGCAUCUGCUCAGCUGCUGGUGAGGGCUUUCAUGCUGCGUCACAACAUGGCGGAAGGUCAAAGGGGAAGCGGAAAUGCGCCAAGGGGCAAAAUCCAAGGGGUGUCCUGGCUUGAUACCAAUGCACUCUUGUAGGAACGAAUCCCUUUCCUGAUCCAGCCUUCCCAGAAUGAGAUUUCACUGUCUACUGCAGUUACAGCACCAAGGUAUUUGUAAGGCAUCUGCCCCCAUGACCCAAACACCUCCUGCUAGGCCUCACCUCCCAACACUACCCCACUGGGAAUCAAAUGUCAACAUCACUUUUGGUGAGGACAAACUAUAUCCAAACCAUAGCACAUGUGAAGGAAAAAGGAAAGAAAAAGGGAGGGAAGAAUAGAAAGACUGUAGUAAGAAAUCCAUGAUCGGUGCGAAACAUGGAGUUUUCACAACGAGCUAAAGAAACACUAUAG